rnacentral:rRNA from 1 species
GAAGGUGCGAGCGUUAAUCGGAAUUACUGGGCGUAAAGCGUGCGCAGGCGGUUUUUCAAGUCUGAUGUGAAAGCCCCGGGCUUAACCUGGGAACUGCGUUGGAAACUGAAAGACUAGAGUGCGGCAGAGGGGGGUAGAAUUCCACGUGUAGCAGUGAAAUGCGUAGAUAUGUGGAGGAAUACCGAUGGCGAAGGCAGCCCCCUGGGUCGACACUGACGCUCAUGCACGAAAGCGUGGGUAGCAAACAGGAUUAGAUACCCUGGUAGUCCACGCCCUAAACGAUGUCAACUAGUUGUUGGGGAGGGAGACCUCCUUAGUAACGCAGCUAACGCGUGAAGUUGACCGCCUGGGGAGUACGGUCGCAAGAUUAAAACUCAAAGGAAUUGACGG